GAUGAACGCUUGCGGGAGGCCUAACACAUGCAAGCCGAGCGGUAUUGUUUCUUCGGAAAUGAGAGAGCGGCGUACGGGUGCGGAACACGUGUGCAACCUGCCUUUAUCUGGGGGAUAGCCUUUCGAAAGGAAGAUUAAUACUCCAUAAUAUAUUGAACGGCAUAGUUUAAUAUUGAAAGCUCCGGCGGAUAGAGAUGGGCACGCGCAAGAUUAGCUAGUUGGUGAGGUAACGGCUCACCAAGGCGACGAUCUUUAGGGGGCCUGAGAGGGUGAUCCCCCACACUGGUACUGAGACACGGACCAGACUCCUACGGGAGGCAGCAGUGAGGGAUAUUGGUCAAUGGGUGCAAGCCUGAACCAGCCAUCCCGCGUGAAGGACGACUGCCCUAUGGGUUGUAAACUUCUUUUGUAUAGGGAUAAACCUACCCUCGUGAGGGUAGCUGAAGGUACUAUACGAAUAAGCACCGGCUAACUCCGUGCCAGCAGCCGCGGUAAUACGGAGGGUGCAAGCGUUAUCCGGAUUUAUUGGGUUUAAAGGGUCCGUAGGCGGACUUAUAAGUCAGUGGUGAAAGCCUGUCGCUUAACGAUAGAACUGCCAUUGAUACUGUAAGUCUUGAGUAUAUUUGAGGUAGCUGGAAUAAGUAGUGUAGCGGUGAAAUGCAUAGAUAUUACUUAGAACACCAAUUGCGAAGGCAGGUUACCAAGAUAUAACUGACGCUGAGGGACGAAAGCGUGGGGAGCGAACAGGAUUAGAUACCCUGGUAGUCCACGCCGUAAACGAUGCUAACUCGUUUUUGGGCUUUAGGGUUCAGAGACCAAGCGAAAGUGAUAAGUCAGCCACCUGGGGAGUACGCUCGAAAGAGUGAAACUCAAAGGAAUUGACGGGGGCCCGCACAAGCGGUGGAUUAUGUGGUUUAAUUCGAUGAUACGCGAGGAACCUUACCAAGACUUAAAUGGGAAUUGACAGCUUUAGAAAUAGAGCUUUCUUCGGACAAUUUUCAAGGUGCUGCAUGGUUGUCGUCAGCUCGUGCCGUGAGGUGUUAGGUUAAGUCCUGCAACGAGCGCAACCCCUGUCACUAGUUGCCAUCAUUCAGUUGGGGACUCUAGUGAGACUGCCUACGCAAGUAGAGAGGAAGGUGGGGAUGACGUCAAAUCAUCACGGCCCUUACGUCUUGGGCCACACACGUAAUACAAUGGCCGGUACAGAGGGCAGCUACACAGCGAUGUGAUGCAAAUCUCGAAAGCCGGUCUCAGUUCGGAUUGGAGUCUGCAACUCGACUCUAUGAAGCUGGAAUCGCUAGUAAUCGCGCAUCAGCCAUGGCGCGGUGAAUACGUUCCCGGGCCU
rnacentral:rRNA from 1 species